GCAUUAAUGGGGUAGUGGUAACCUGGGUCGUUGCCAUGCGUUGUUCAUGUCGACCCGCCGGGGGUUCGAUUCCCCCUUAAUGCA